CCUACGGGUGGCUGCAGUGGGGAAUAUUGGACAAUGGGGGGAACCCUGAUCCAGCCAUGCCGCGUGUGUGAAGAAGGCCCUCGGGUUGUAAAGCACUUUCAGUGAGGAAGAACGCCUGGUGGUUAAUACCCAUCAGGAAAGACAUCACUCACAGAAGAAGCACCGGCUAACUCCGUGCCAGCAGCCGCGGUAAUACGGAGGGUGCGAGCGUUAAUCGGAAUUACUGGGCGUAAAGCGCGCGUAGGUGGCUUGAUAAGCCGGUUGUGAAAGCCCCGGGCUCAACCUGGGAACGGCAUCCGGAACUGUCAAGCUAGAGUGUAGGAGAGGAAGGUAGAAUUCCCGGUGUAGCGGUGAAAUGCGUAGAGAUCGGGAGGAAUACCAGUGGCGAAGGCGGCCUUCUGGACUGACACUGACACUGAGGUGCGAAAGCGUGGGUAGCAAACAGGAUUAGAUACCCGGGUAGUC
rnacentral:rRNA from 1 species